GCUCAUUAUAACAGUAAUAGUUUCUUUGGUUAGUAAAAUACAAGCAUAGCUUUGUGAAUGAUAAAGAUAAUACUUGAGACGAUCCAGUUUGUAUUAGUACAAAAUGGCCAAUUCAUUCAAUGAAUUGAGAAAUGACAUUCUA
rnacentral:rRNA from 1 species